UCUCUCUCUCCGCCUCUGUAAAAUCUAAAAGAGAAGAAAGCUUCUCAAAAACCCUAGUUGCUUCUUUACUAUUGGUGAUUCCACCCAUCCCCUAGCUAGGAACUGUAACAGCGGAACAACCAAGACUGCCCGAUCCUUGGCCGCAUCAGUCGAAUCGAGAGUGGGUACAGGUACGCCAGUGCUUUUCUUUGGCUAUCCCAGCUAUCGAGCUAGACUAAUUGACACUGCUUCACUCCCUGGUCUUUCUUUCUCUCUGAAGGCUUCAACGAGAAAAGAGGGGUUAAUCUUGGCCCAGAGAAAGUCAGGCUAGCAACGCCCAAAUAAGAUGCCAUCUCUUUCCCCGUCUCUGUAACCCAGCCGUAGCGGCAUCCCCACUUCUCAAGUUCAGAUUUCUACUAUUCUUCUAACUCUUAACUUAUUUCCUUCAUGGCCUCCCUUCAGGUUGGAUUCCACCAAAGGAUCAUAUAUCAAGGACUGGGCUAAAUGGGAGAAUCAAUUACGAGAGGUUCUAUUUGGCAAUGCUUAAUAUCUUAAUUCUAUACAGGUUCUGUUUGAGUUUGUUGUUAAACAAGUGUUGGAACAACUAAGAACUAUUGCAAAGGGUGGUUAUUUAGUGACAAGUGCUGAGAAGAGGAAAUUGGGGACCAUUGUUUUUGCUGAUGUCAGCCUUUCUGUCAGUGAAAUCCAAAGUCUUCUCAAGAAGGUGGACGUUGACAAGUUACAUGCUAUUAUUGCUUCAAAUUUGCUUUUAGAUGACAAUAACAAAAUGAAAAAUUUUGUAAAGAAUGAAGCACUUUAUACAUGUGGUUAAGCACGUUGAUUUCAACCAACACGGUACCAUUUACCUCAAGGAACCUCACUAUCUCCAUCUUAAUCCAUCAAGGCGUAUAAGAUGUAAUUUCCUCGACUUCUAAUAUAAUUUUUUGCUGUACAACAAUUUCUUAGUAUAACUAAGUUGUUAGUACUAUAGCUCAAUGUUCAGUUGCAUUUUUUCAUGUGAUAUAUUUGUCAAGAGCUCCAAUGGAAAUAUUCAACCUCUUAAGUAAACUCAAAAUUAUUAUGUAAUUGUUCAAACAUGUUUUAAAAGCAGUACUGCUAAGUUGGAUAAUGAGGUUAAUUGCAAGGUGUUGGGCAAAUUAUAAAUUCUUUUUUAAUUUUGAUGAUUCUUUUUAAAAUUAUUAUUAUUAUUCAAAGUUUCAAAUUGUCUGUUUUUAUAUUGCUUUUGUUUCUUAUUAUUAUUAUACAAUGCCUUAAUACUUUAAUUUUUAUUGCAUGUGACAGUCACAGAGAUAAAAUGGUUAUUUGUUCCAACUACACAAAGACAAAAAGAAUGCAUGUCCAUUAAAUACACAAACAAAAGGACUCUCACUAGGACCACACAAAGGAUAAGGGCAACAAAUUGGUUUACCACAGAACAAGGAAAUACAUACCUAUAUUUGCCCAAUUGAAAGCUAGAGGAAGUGGGAUAGGAGGAUCGUUGAAUUUUCUAAAAAGUACUUGAAAUGAUGUGGGAUAUGGGACAUUUGUAAUGUUAAAUAGUGUCAAUUUUUUUGCAUAUA